AUUUAAGUAGCUUAUAAUAGAGCAUAACUUUGAAGAUGUUAAGGAAAUCUUAUGAUUCUUGAAUA
rnacentral:tRNA from 1 species